UACGUAGGGUGCAAGCGUUGUCCGGAAUUAUUGGGCAUAAAGAGCUCGUAGGCGGUUCGUCGCGUCGGCUGUGAAAACCCGGAGCUCAACUCCGGGCCUGCAGUCGAUACGGGCGGACUUGAGUGUUGCAGGGGAGACUGGAAUUCCUGGUGUAGCGGUGAAAUGCGCAGAUAUCAGGAGGAACACCGGUGGCGAAGGCGGGUCUCUGGGCAACUACUGACGCUGAGGAGCGAAAGCGUGGGGAGCGAACAGG
rnacentral:rRNA from 1 species